rnacentral:lncRNA from 1 species
UUUUGGGGGCAAUAAAAAGGGCACUAGGGUUUUUACAGGAGAGUGUCAGAGCCGCACAGAGAUCUGAUGCUAGACAAAAGGAUAUUUAGUGUUUCAACUCUGGGAUAGGGUCCCUGGUACUUGAGAAAAGAAAUCCUGUUUCAAUAUGAAAGCUGCUCUGACUGAAAGUGUUAAUUAGCAUUUUGAAUAUUACUUUGUAAUUGCUCUAAAAAGUACUCUUUGAAAUCAAAUGAUUAUAAAAACAAGAUCCUUAAAAGUCCCAUUACUUCAAAAUGUAGGGGGAAAAAUUUUUUUUUAAAUCAAAACAGUGGAAUUCUCCUAAGCACAUGAAAACUGAAGUUCUACUUUGAGAACCAUGGAGGCAGAACAGCAGUUAAGAACUGAAAACGAGGUAAAUUUUAAACUUGUCUUUGAACCCAAGCACCUAGCAGAGAAGAGUGUCUUCUUUGAAGGAGUAGAAAAGUUUGAUUUAUUUCACCAAAGUCGGGAGGCAGAAUCACUUAGUAAACUAACCAAAAUAAACGUCCCCUCCAAAUUAUCCAUGUCAGAUAAAAAUAUACCAGUCUCUACAAUAUCCAACAGAAUUGCAAAUAAGGCACUUAGCAUUUUAAAUUCUCAAUGCAUAUUUAUAGGAUAGAAUUCUCUGGUCUACCCUUCGAGCCACUCACGUCUGACUCUCUAAGAACUUAACCC